CAGUCGCCGCGGUAAUACGUAUGUCACAAGCGUUAUCCGGAUUUAUUGGGCGUAAAGCGCGUCUAGGUGGUUAUGUAAGUCUGAUGUGAAAAUGCAGAGCUCAACUCUGUAUUGCGUUGGAAACUGUGUAACUAGAGUACUGGAGAGGUAAGCGGAACUACAAGUGUAGAGGUGAAAUUCGUAGAUAUUUGUAGGAAUGCCGAUGGGGAAGCCAGCUUACUGGACAGAUACUGACGCUGAAGCGCGAAAGCGUGGGUAGCAAACAGGAUUAGAUACCCGCGUAGUCCCUGUCUCUUAUACA
rnacentral:rRNA from 1 species